rnacentral:lncRNA from 1 species
UGGGUUUUUGCCAUGUUGGCGGUGCUGGCCUCUAACUCCUGACCUUAAGUGAUCCGCCUGCCUCAGCCCCCCAAAGUGCUGGGAUUACAGGCAUGAGCCACUGCGUCCGGCUGAAUUGUUAACUUUCUUUCAUUGUUUUAGAAGAAACAUAACUCAUUUUCACCUGGGCAGGGAGAAUGUAUCCCAGAGAUAGCAGAAGAGAAUCUUCCUGACCAGUUGACAAUCACUGCUUCACUUGUCCUGCUUCACGUUUUUGCAUCCACUUCUGUGGUUUUUGCUACCACCUACAGAAGACUGACUUCCAAAUGAUGCCUACUAGAAAUGUGAACCUGGAUAUUCCACUGUGUCUGAAAUGCAGUUUCUAAAUACCAGUUCUCUCACCCUCCCUCCCUUUCCUCCUAAAUUUUAUUCUUAGUAAAUGACACCUAUUUCUCCGGUUUUAAUUUCCUUUCCUCUCUUUUCCCCUCCACUGCAAUAAGCUCUCUGGCACUGAAACUUGAACUGAUGUGAUCACCAAU